ensembl:lncRNA
GCCGCUGACUGGUCACGUGACUCUUCUGUUUUCGUUCACUUCCCGCUUGGACAUUAAGUCUGUCAGGGUCAUUGUAAAUCCGAAGACAAUCCAGGGAACGCUAGGUGUGAGAUGGGAAUACACCCUGGACGGGAUGUCAGUCCAUCAGACAGCAACUACAUGGGUCGCAGGGGAACCUGUAGCCUAUCCCAGGAAGCAUCGGGCAAAAGGCGGGGUCCUCCUUAUGCCCCAAAACAGUUCGGAACCAUCGAGGCAUGGACUUCACAAGACCUCUGAAAGUGUGCUGUGGUAUCUGGCGCCAGGACGAUAACAGCAGAUCCUUUAUGUCCUGUAAGUUGAGAAGUUGGGCCUCCAUUGAUCGUACUUAUUCAUCCUGCACAUCCCACAGAUGCUUGUUUGGAUUGAUUUUGAGGAAAUUUGGAGGCCAAAUCAACACCUUGAACUCUGUCAUGGUCCUCAAACCAUUCCUGAACAAUUUUUGCAGUGUGGCAGGGCAUAAUAUCAUACUGAAAGAUGCCACUGCCAUGAAGGGGUACCAUUGCCAUGAAGGGGUGUACUUGGCAACAAUGUUUAAAUAGGUGGUAUGUGUCAAAGAAUCAUCCACAUGAAUGCCCGGACCAAGGUUUCCCAACAUUGCUCAGAGCAUCACACUUCCUCUGGCAGCUUGAUUUCAUCCCAUAGUGCAUCUUGAUGCUAUCUCUUCCCCAGCAACCCACAAGAGGAAGAGAGGACUGGGCUCUGAAAACAGCAUGUAUAUGGCAGUGAGAUUAAAUCAACAGACUGCCAUGAUCAUUUCAUAAUUGCUCAAUAAAAAUGGCAUGGCUCACUGUCAAAUUGGGUAUUUGGGUGGGAUUUCAGCUAAAACCAGUAAACUGAAGACAGACUUUGAGAGGACAGCUUUGACUCCACAUACUGCUUUGUACAUAAUUUCAGCAUCUUUUGGGAAGAAAGACAUUUUCUGUAGGUAUUUUGCUGUGUUUUUAUGUUCAGUACAUGGUGUUUUGUAUUUACGGCCGAGAGCUCUAGUGGUUUUUUCCUGUUGCUACAUGUCUUGUGGUAGCCUGACGUGAUCUAUGAUCCCACUACAGAGCUGCCUCACUGACUUUUUACUAUAGAGUUACCAGUGGUUUGGACAUUAAUGGCUGUGUGUUGAGUUAUUUUGAGGGGACAGCAAAUUUACACUCUUACACAAGCUGUACACUCACUACUUUACAUUGUAGGAAAGUGUCAUUUCUUCAGUGUUGUCACAUUAAAUGAUAUAAUCAAAUAUUUACAAAAAUGUGAGGUGUGUCCUCACUUUUGUGAGAUACUGUACAUAAAAACAGAAGAAAUCAGGAUAGGACAAAAACUUUUUCACAGCACUGUAUGUCCUAGAACAAAAUGUAACAGCUAUUCUGUGUAUAAGGAAUAAAAAAUUCUGUUGAUAGCAAACGGUACACUUUCUUUCUUUCUUUUAAAAAAAUCAUACAUGAAAUUCCAGAUGGAGCAGGGGUCUUCAUUUAGAUUUGAUCUUCG